CCUGGCGGCCGUAGCGCGGUGGUCCCACCUGACCCCAUGCCGAACUCAGAAGUGAAACGCCGUAGCGCCGAUGGUAGUGUGGGGGCUCCCCAUGCGAGAGUAGGGAACUGCUAGGC
rnacentral:rRNA from 1 species